rnacentral:rRNA from 1 species
GACGAACGCUGGCGGCGUGCCUAAUACAUGCAAGUCGAGCGAAGUUUUUCUGGUGCUUGCCCUAGAAAAACUUAGCGGCGAACGGGUGAGUAACACGUAAAGAACCUGCCUCAUAGACUGGGACAACUAUUGGAAACGAUAGCUAAUACCGGAUAACAGUAUUUCUCGCAUGGGAGAUAUUUAAAAGUUGGUUAUGCUAACACUAUGAGAUGGCUUUGCGGUGCAUUAGCUAGUUGGUGGGGUAAAGGCCCACCAAGGCGACGAUGCAUAGCCGACCUGAGAGGGUGAUCGGCCACACUGGGACUGAGACACGGCCCAGACUCCUACGGGAGGCAGCAGUAGGGAAUCUUCCGCAAUGGGCGAAAGCCUGACGGAGCAACGCCGCGUGAGUGAAGAAGGAUUUCGGUUCGUAAAGCUCUGUUGUUAGGGAAGAAUGGAUAUGUAGUAACUAUACAUGUAAGAGACGGUACCUAACCAGAAAGCCACGGCUAACUACGUG